GCAAACUUGGUCAUUUAGAGGAAGUAAAAGUCGUAACAAGGUUUCCGUAGGUGAACCUGCGGAAGGAUCAUUACAGUGCCAGCGGGUCUAGGUGACCGGCGUCCGUGAAACCGGGCUGCCGUGUCACCCCCGCGCCAGGCCCACACUUGUCUACUUACCGCGUUGCCUCGGCGGGUCAGCCGCUAAGCCGGCGGCCGGGGGGCCCCUAGCCCUCUGGUCAGCGCCCGCCCGGGGACCGUUCAAACCACUGUUUUCAGCGAAUGCAGUCUGAGCGAUAAAUAUUUUAAUGAAAUUAAAACUUUCAACAAUGGAUCUCUUGGUUCCGGCAUCGAUGAAGAACGCAGC
rnacentral:misc_RNA from 1 species